AUGGAAACGCAGUCCGCGGCCUCCUGGCCCCACCCCGGCCCAGGAGCUCCCGCGCCCCAAGGGCCUCCAGCUUCUCUGGGCCCAGGGCCACCAACGGGGAUCCUCGGCGGCCCGUGGCACCCCACGGGGUCCAAGGAAGUCCACGGAGACUCGUGGCCUCUCGCGGGCGCGUGUGCGGCGGGCGAAGGGCCUGCCGGCGGGGCGAGGGCGCCGCCCGACCCCACCUCCCCGCGCUCCGGCCCGGGCGCCCGUGCCGGGGUGACGCCUCCUCCCGUCGGCGCUGCCUUUCCCGCUGCACGACUCUCCCCACAGACCCGGACCCUGGCGUCCCGCAGCCGAGUCCCCUCGUCGCCGGUGGUGUCCGAGAGACCUGCGAUCGCGCACCGUCCGCGGCAAGCGCGACUCUUCCCUAAUGUGAGUCUCCUGGUCUGACCCAGAGACGCUGCAGGGGCUCAACGCGGCCUCAGCUUGACAGCUCCCUCACUUCUCUGCUGCAUCACUUGGGAGAGUCUCCCAAAGAAGGACUUGGGCGAACUCUGCCAGCGUGCAAGGGGCCGCAUCCGCUGCAGCUUCUAACGCCAGCAGGGCCAGGUCAGUGAGCAGCGGGCCACUGGAGCGCCCUCAUUGUCUGGCUGUAUAACGACCUCUCCCAAAGGACACUGGACACUCUGCAAGCUCGGCGGCCCAGGCUGUGCUGUCAGAGUCACAGCGAACACCUGACCUGUCCCCCAGGCCCUGUCAAUGCCACAUAGCUGUGUCUGGCUGAGCUGGGGCCCGGACACCACUCUGAACAACUCUCAGGUGGCUUCGGGAUGCUUGGGCAUCGACAUUUCCACACAACACACCCUCCUGAGGAUGUCACCUGCAGAUGGUCUGAAUUCCAACUUCUCCUUAAGCCAGGAGUCCUCAGCCUGCCGCUGAAGUUAAAUACGGUGCAAAGCAGCCACAGCUCUCCGCAUGUGAGGGCAGCUGGGUGGGGAGGGGCUGCGCCUGGGGCAUGAACGGCCGGGUCCCCCUGGCAGAGAAGGCCCUGUCCGAAGGCUAUGCUCGCCUCCGAUACCAUGACACUUCCUUGCUCAUCUGGCAGCAGCAGCAGCAGAAGUUGGAAUCUGUGCCGCCUGGGACCUACCUGAGCAGGAGCCAAAGCAUGUGGUACUCGAAGUACGGAAAUGAGGCCAUCUUAGUCCGAGACAAAAACAAGCUUGAGGUCUGCCGGGACACAGAUUGCAAAGCUGAUGUUAUAGAACUGGGGUUGCCUACGUUGAUUUCUUUGAAACAGUCCUCAAGAGACCUGGCAUGGAUACAAGGAAAACUGAACGAACAACAUAAAAAUUAGAACGUGCUGGAGCUGAAAAGUGUCUAUACUUGUAAGUCUCCAAAGUUUAUACAAAAAAAAAUGAAAAAAAGAAAAAUCUGAAACCACCAAAACACCACACCCAAAAGCCAGCAAGCCCAGGAAGAGCGCGGACUGAGGACCGACAUGAUGAGCACCCGGCAGGGAGCGGGCUGAGCGGGCUUGGUCUCCUCCGCCCAAGGGGCUGAGUCGCUGCUGCUGUGUUUAAUGCACUUCUUUUACGGUUCUGUGUUUUUCUUUGCUUUUUUUCUUUUUUUUCUUUUUUUUAAAAAAAAUGA